rnacentral:rRNA from 1 species
UACGGAGGGAGCUAGCGUUGUUCGGAAUUACUGGGCGUAAAGCGCGCGUAGGCGGCUUUGUAAGUUAGAGGUGAAAGCCCGGAGCUCAACUCCGGAACUGCCUUUAAAACUGCAUCGCUUGAAUCCAGGAGAGGUGAGUGGAAUUCCGAGUGUAGAGGUGAAAUUCGUAGAUAUUCGGAAGAACACCAGUGGCGAAGGCGGCUCACUGGACUGGUAUUGACGCUGAGGUGCGAAAGCGUGGGGAUCAAACAGG